rnacentral:rRNA from 1 species
UGGGGAAUUUUGGACAAUGGGCGAAAGCCUGAUCCAGCCAUUCCGCGUGAGUGAAGAAGGCCUUCGGGUUGUAAAGCUCUUUCGCAAGGGAAGAAAACUUAUAUUCUAAUAAAGUAUGAGGAUGACGGUACCUUGAUAAGAAGCACCGGCUAACUACGUGCCAGCAGCCGCGGUAAUACGUAGGGUGCGAGCGUUAAUCGGAAUUACUGGGCGUAAAGCGUGCGCAGGCGGUUUUGAAAGUCAGAUGUGAAAUCCCCGAGCUCAACUUGGGAACUGCGUUUGAAACUCCAAAGCUAGAGUAUAGGAGAGGGGGGUAGAAUUCCACGUGUAGCAGUGAAAUGCGUAGAGAUGUGGAGGAAUACCAAUGGCGAAGGCAGCCCCCUGGCCUAAUACUGACGCUCAGGUGCGAAAGCGUGGGGAGCAAACA